rnacentral:ncRNA from 1 species
GGGGGAGUAUGGUCGCAAGUCUAAAACUUAAUGGAAUUGACGGAAGGGCACCACCAGGAGUGGAGCCUGCAGCUUAAUUUGACUCAACACGGGGAAACUUACCAGGUCCAGACAUAGUAAGGAUUGACAGACUGAGAGCUCUUUCUUGAUUCUACGGGUGGUGGUGCAUGGCCGUUCUUAGUUGGUGGAGCGAUUUUUCUGGUUAAUUCCGUUAACGAACGAGACCUCAUCCUACUAACUAGCUAAGCGGAGGUAUCCCUUCGCGGCCAGCUUCUUAGAGGGACUACAGCCUUUUAGGCCGUAGAAGUUUGAGGCAAUAACAGGUCUGUGAUGCCCUUAGAUGUUCUAGGCCGCACGCGUGCUACACUGAUGUAUUCAACGAGUUAAUAGCCUUGGCUAACAGGCCCGGGUAAUCUUUGAAAUUUCGUCGUGAUAGGGAUAGAUCAUUGCAAUUGUUGGUCUUCAACGAGGAAUUCCAAGUAAGCGCGAGUCAUCAGCUCGCGUUGACUACGUCCCUGCCCUUUGUACACACCGCCCGUCGCUCCUACCGAUCGAAUGAUCCGGUGAAAUGUUUGGAUCGCGACGAUGUGGGCGGUUUGCUGCCCGCGAUGUCGCACUCCAUUGAACCUUAUCAUUUAGAGGAAGGAGAAGUCGUAACAAGGUUUCCAUAGGUGAACCUGCGGAAG